rfam:Asian citrus Psyllid, Diaphorina citri - Florida Strain, whole genome shotgun sequence.
AAUAGCAAAUUAAAAUCCGUUAAAAGCAUCAAUUCCCAAUGGAUCACCGAAGUUAAGCAACGUUGCGCGUAGUUAGUAUCCGGUUGGGUGACCAAUUGGGCAAUCGUGGGCUGCUGGCC